CCCAGUAAUAAUCACACCACACUCACACCACACAAUGUUCACAUACACACACCCAGUACACACCACACACACACACCACACACCAUACACACACCCAGUACACACCACACACUCACACACCAUACACACACCCAGUACACACCACACACCACACACCAUACACACACACCACACACUAUACACACACACCCAGCACACACACCACACACUACACACCACACACAACCCACACACACACCAGUACACACCACACACACACACCACACACCAUACACACACCCAGUACACACCACACACUACAAUCACCAUACACACACCCAGUACACACCACACACUACAAUAACUACAAUAAUAACCACACACUAUACACACACCCAGUACACACACCACACUACACACCACACACCACACACCAUACACAGCCCACAUACACACACCCAGUACACACCACACAUAAUAACACCACACAAUUACACACACCCAGUGCACAUCACACACCACACACACACCCAUGACAUACACACCCCCCACACACACCACACACACACACCACACACACAUCACACAUACACCCAACACACACCACGUACACACACCCAGUACACAUCACACACCUCACACACACCACACACCUCACACACACCCAUCAAACACUACACACCUCACACACACCACAUACACACCCAAUACACACAUCACACACACACACCCAACACACACACACACCACACACACCACACACCUCACACACACCCAUCAAACACUACACACCUCACACACACCACAUACACACACACACCCAACACACACACACACACCCAACACACACACCACACACACACCACACCUCACACACACCCAUCAAACACUACACACCUCACACACACACCCAUGACAUACACACCCAACACACACAUCACACACAUACACCCAACAAACACCACACACCUCACACACACACCCAUGACAUACACACCCCACACAUACACCACACACAUCACACAUAACACCCAACACACCACACACCACACACACACCCAUCAAACACUCCUCUCACAGCCGACACACGCACACACACACACACCCAACACACACCUCACACACUGCACACAUCACACGCACCACAUAACCCUAAAAACAUUACACACACCUCAGACAGAUCCCCCACACACGUCACACACACCCAACACACACUACACACAUACCCAUCACACACCUCACAUAUCUCACACAAUCGCACACCUCACACACUCAUCACACACCUCACACACACCCCCAUCACACGCCUCAAACAUCCACACUAUCACACACAACACACCUCACACACCCAACACACACAAACAUCACACACCCAACACACACCACACACCCCAAAUACACAUAUCACACACCUCACACACACAACACACCACACACCCCCAGAAAACCCACAUAUUACACACACAUCUCACACACCUCACACACACCACACACCAAACACACAUGGACACAACAUACAUAUCACACACACCUAACCGUGAACCACAUACCCAACACACACACAACACAUAUCACACACCAGCCACACCACACACACCCAGAAAACACACAUCACACACACCUCACAUGCAUCACACACCACACACACCCAACACACACCACAAACAUCACACACCUCACACACGCACAGACAGUACACAAAAGUACACAUGA
ensembl:lncRNA